rnacentral:lncRNA from 1 species
UCUUCUUGCAGUAGACGCCCAAGGGUCGGAACUUUGUAAUUUUAUCCUUUAUUCAUCAUCAUCAUCAUCUUUUUAUUUUUGUAGUUUUCUAAAUCGGUAUUCUUCUUCUUCAGGAUCUGAUACUCAGGUGACAAGAAGUGAGAAUCCACUCAAAAUCCUCAAAUACACAGUUGAAAAUUGACAUCAACACAAGUAAGCUUCAUUACAUUAUUUGCAGAUCUUAAAUUCUUAAUCAAAUUGUCAUAGUUUAAUCUUAUUUUCAAAUAUUAUAUAUAUAUUUUUUUUUUGUAAAAUGGUAAACUAAUGUAUUUAGACAUUUGUAAAAUUCUUCUAAUUGAUUUAAAUUUCAUUUACCUGGUUUCGACUUUCGAUACUUGACCUUGCCACUGGUUCCCAUCUUCCUUGCUUCAUCUCUAUGAAUUGUUUUUGGAUAUGGGUUUUGUAAUUACCUGUAAAUUAUUCAUGGUUUUUUGCUCUUAAAUAUAUCCAUAAUUCCAUAUGCAAACAAUUAUUUAAUAUCUAUAUUUCUUGUAUUUAAUAAUUUCCCCUUUCUAUUCUUACAUUAAGUCUCAUAAGAUCAACAACCAGGAAAGAAAAGGGUCUUGUAGUUUGAUCAGAGGACGUUGAUCUGUCUUUUGCUACAUAACUUGUAAUUGUGUUUUUCUUCUUCCACUGGCAGACCUGAAUAAAGGAAGGUGUGUUUUUUCACUUCGAAACUGAAUAGUUUGAAAUUGUGAUGUAGAUUUUAUUAACAUAAUGAUUUUACAGGUACGAGCAGAAUCCAGAAUUUGAAUCAGAUGUGAAUGAUCCACUUGUUGAAAUAUCUUCAUUGACGGGUAACAACAAGGAACUCUGGCUCAUCCAAUGGCCAGUUCAUCAGUUCACCCCCUACAUGAUUUUGUAUAUGAUUUGUCAUUUUGUUGCAGACAGUAUCUUCUGAUAUUGAUGGAAAAGAGAUUACCAUUCGAUUGAAUAAGGAUGGGAAUAUUGGAUCUUUUGAGACCUCUACUGGUAUGCCGUAUACCAAUUGUUAAAAGUAUUUUUCUACUGAUUUUUCUUUUAAUUAAAAUCUAAAUCUCUGGGGUAUUUCAAAUUUCAUUGUCAACGAUGCCAUAAUGGUCUUAUAGUGAUAGUGAGUUUGGAGUUUUGCUCUUUGAUUAUGGAUACAAAAUUUGAUGAAAAUUAUAGUUUCUGAUUUUAUUUUGUAUCUUCAUUCGUUUAUUCCAAGUUUGAUGAACAAUAUGGUUUUUCUGGCAGGUAAGACUUAUGAUUUGGUUAGUCAUGAUGCACAGAAACCAGAUGCAUCUGUUAUCAUAGCUUCUGGUUCUGGGUCAAAAGUAGGUAAGUUAAUCUUCUCUUAUUCACUUUGGGAUCAUUGGUUUUAUUUUUUUAAGUUACAUGUUUAUUUGUUAUUCUCUUUUUCACUUUUGUUUCUCGUUUUCUUUGCACAUUAUAUUGCUUGGAUUAUGAAAGUAGUGUUGAGUUCGGAACAAACGAGUGAAAAAUAAUUAUAUCUAAUUAAUGUUCUAAUGAGUUUUGUUAAUUGUAUGUUGACAUGUAUGACAUUCUUACUCUGUUCUGUUUAUUUGUUUGUAAAAUUGUGUAUUUACUAACUUUUUUCUAAAAAGACGGCGCAUCUUUCACAUCCAUAGUUUAUUUGAUCGAAUCAUAUCUAAAAUCUAAAUUGUUUGGAAUUUUUUUUGUAAAUUUAAUAUUGUUGAAACAUUCUUUUCACAUUCAACUUUUAACAUCUCUUUGUCCCUAAUUUUUACAUUUAACUUACUAGUAUAGAAUCGAUAACCACUGUGUAUAUAUUUUUUUUACAUUAUUCUUUCAAUUUCAAAAUUAGCUAAGGGUAAGAACGGGACGGGUUUCGCGUCCCGGUGUGUUAAAAGGAGACGGGGCAGAAUAUCUGCCCCGUUUUUCAUUUUUUGCCACAUGCCCCGUUGCCCGGUCAAAUUCCGGGACGGGUCUCGGGGCAGGGUGAAACCCACAUACAAAAUUAAACUACCAAAUAACAGUGUUAUUCACCCAAUUUUUCACAUUGCAGUUUUAAAGUUGUACAAGGGAGAGCUAACCCCACAAAAGUUCGAAUUUUUACCUGAUCAGGCAGUGGACAAUGAGCCUGUGAUGUUCCCGGAGGAGGUACUGGCCGAAAGAAUAUUGCUCGUCAGAAGUAAGCCACUAGAACAACUACUGAUCAAAUGGAGCGGCCUGGAUGUGGAGCGCAGUUCUUGGGAGGAAAAGGGAACAUUGUCAAUUAAGGUUAUUUCCAUCUAUCAACCUUGAGGUCAAGGAUGAUUCUAUAGGAAAUGGGAAUGAUAGGGACACUUACCGGGAGGGAAUGCGCGAGGAGGCUUGCCAGUUGGUCCAAGAACUGGAAGUCGCAGAAGCAGAGCCGGCGAAGAAUGAAACGGAGCUGGAAGACGCGUCUGCUGGUGGAACCAACGACCAUCCAACGGUCGAGUUGGGGAGACGUGAAGCAGGUCGCCGGAUCCGAUACCCGAGUACCCGAAUGAAGAAUUUCGUGCCCUAAUUGAAGAAACGGCCGAUGGCGAAUUGGUCUUUUAAUUUAGCUGGGUUAAGUAGUUAUUCUGAUAAGAGAGAAGGGUCAUUUUUGUCAUUGAAAAUGUAAAACCUAUAAUACUCCAGAC